rnacentral:sRNA from 12 species
GCCGGGCUGCUGUAAAAAUGCAAACCAAUGCAUUUUCCCCUGGGAAGGGGUUGGCAGCAAGCGGUAUCAUGUCGAAUAGGCAGGGAUACCGCAGAAGUGCCAGCAUAUAGCUGGUAAA